AAGAAUAUUGUAUAAUGGUAAUACACUGACCUCCAAAGUCAUACAUGCGAGUUCGACUCUUGCUAUUCUUG
rnacentral:tRNA from 1 species